rnacentral:rRNA from 1 species
GACGAACGCUGGCGGCGUGCUUAACACAUGCAAGUCGAACGGUGAAGCGCCUUCCUUUUUGGUGGGUGUGGAUGAGUGGCGAACGGGUGAGUAACACGUGAGUAACCUGCCCCCUUCUUCUGGAUAACCGCAUGAAAGUGUGGCUAAUACGGGAUAUUCUGGGUCUGUCGCAUGAUGGGUCUGGGAAAGAUAUUGUUUCGGUGGGGGAUGGGCUCGCGGCCUAUCAGGUUGUUGGUGGGGUGAUGGCCUACCAAGGCGGUGACGGGUAGCCGGCCUGGGAGGGUGGACGGCCUCACUGGGACUGAGACACGGCCAAGACUCCGACGGGAGGCAGCAGUGAGGAUUAUUGCACAAUGGGCGCAAGCCUGAUGCAGCGACGCCGCGUGAGGGAUGGAGGCCUGCGGGUUGUGAACCUCUUUCGCCAGUGAAGCAGGCCUGCCUCGUUUGUGGGUGGGUUGACGGUAGCUGGAGAAGAAGCGCCGGCUAACUACGUG